UGGGAUCAUAGCUCAGCUGGGAGAGCAUCUGCCUUACAAGCAGAGGGUCAUAGGUUCGAGCCCUAUUGGUCCCAUC
rnacentral:tRNA from 1 species